UCUUCUGUCUCCGACGGUAAAGAAUCUGCUUCCAAUGCAGGAGACCCAGGUUCAAUCCCUGGGUCAAGAA
rnacentral:tRNA from 1 species